AGAGAGGUCAGCGUCACAAUGAGAAGGGAGGAGACCGAUCUUCCGGGAACAGAGGCCGCCUCAGGACUGGGCGAGGGGUGCGGUGGGGGGAGGGACAGUGACAUGCAGCACAGAUGUGCGGUGGAGGGAAGGUGCCGCCUCGCCAGCCGCCGCCAGGAAAUUAUACAUGCAAAAUUGAAAAUAAGAAACAGAAAUGCAAAUACCACGUCUGAUGAAACAGAAAAGAAGAAACUCCACAAACAAAUGAAAUGGACAGACUAAAAAGAACCAAAAUCUGAAAACAACCCUAAUGUCCACCAACAGAGGAUGGAUAAAUUGUUCUUUCAUCCAAUGGAAUAUCACAUACUGAUAAAAAGUAACUACUGACAGACACAACAGGGAUAAAUCUGGAAACAUAAACUGGAGAGUGC
rnacentral:lncRNA from 1 species